AUGUUUGGGAUAAUGUUGGUAGUUAUUGAGUUUGCUUCUGAUGUAGGUGAAGAUGACUGGAAAAAAUUUCACUCAUUUCUCACAAGAAUUGGCAGAGGAAGUAAGAUCAUCAUUGUAAGUAAAAUUAAAAGAAUAGCCCGGUUUGGAACGGUGAAAGAAAUUUCACUAAGUGGGUUAUCUCAUGAUGAGUUGAGGUACCUUUUCAAAGCACUCGCAUUCGGAAGCGUAGAGCCAACAGAACAUCCGCGGCUAGUACAGAUAGCAGAUGACUUUGCCACAGUGAUCCACAAUUCGCUAGUUUCACUUGUCGCAACAAAUAUGUUCACGGAUGUGUUGAGAAGCAACCUCAAUGUUCAGUUUUGGCGUUGUAUAUUGGACAAGGCGGCAAGAAUGGUUAAGAGAAACAUUUCAAUAUAUGGGGUGAACCCAACCAUGCGUAUAGAACAAGGUCGCCAAGUGGACAUAACAGAUAUUGCUUUGCAUCCACUUAGCUUAAAAUUUUAUAGUGUUAAUGCUUCAAUCAAGACGGAAUUGCCAAGUGUGACAUUUGGGAAACUUAUAAAAGAUCCUAGUGUUAGGCCGAAAGGAGACUUCAUUCUAAUGGCAUGGGAAUCAAGGAUAUCCCCUUAUAAAUUAUUUCCUAGUUAUGUUACAAGUCAUGCUCAGGAUACAGAUCAAAGUAGUGCCUUGCCAGGGAGGAAGCGACAAGGUGUGCCAAUCUAA
rnacentral:rRNA from 1 species